rnacentral:rRNA from 1 species
CAGUCGCCACGGUAAUACGUAGGUGGCAAGCGAUGUCCGGAAUUAUUGGGCGUAAAGGGCUCGCAGGCGGUUUCUUAAGUCUGAUGUGAGAGCCCCCGGCUCAACCGGGGAGGGUCAUUGGAAACUGGGAAACUUGAGUGCAGAAGAGGAGAGUGGAAUUCCACGUGUAGCGGUGAAAUGCGUAGAGAUGUGGAGGAACACCAGUGGCGAAGGCGACUCUCUGGUCUGUAACUGACGCUGAGGAGCGAAAGCGUGGGGAGCGAACAGGAUUAGAUACCCGUGUAGUCCCUGUCUCUUAUAC